CCGUGUGAACAUGCAGCCUUCCCGCGAUGGCGACUGCGGGAGAGACAGGCCGGCCUGGCAACGAGCAGUGGGGCCUUUCAGGAAGUGUCCGGCUCGGGAGGCACAUCUCGAGCCCACGCGGGGCUGCGGGCGGGACGUCAGCUACUGAGGCUCGGAGCCCGGGGACAGGUCUGCCCGUGGGAGCAGGAGCCGGGCCCCGUGGUCCCGACGCCGGCCGGCGCCAGCAGGCCCGGGAAGUGCGGAAACGGCUGCCAGUGAGGUGGCUGGAGAACCAGGAGUGGGUUUUGUUCUUAGGAAGUCCUGUGAAAAUCGUAUCUGAACGCAUUCAGGGAUUUGUCAUUAGGAAAAGCUGAAAAAUCAAAUUCGCCAACGAUCCUACAGCCACCAAGUUGGAAAUAUGCGCCCCAAACUUGAGACGGUCGUAACUCUGAUUAUAGAACACAAAUGUCAUUGAGCAUUGGAAUCAUCUGAGUGAUUUGCGGCCUCUGUUUGCCUAAUGGAAAUGGAUGUCACCAUGUUAGAGGUGUCUUUCUCCCCAGCCCUGUUUCCUGCUCAUCAGUCACCGCGUUUCUGUAGAAGAGAAAUCGAGGGUGCCUUGCUCCAAAGGCGCAAUGGAAACAACAGAGGGGACCGAAGCCACUCCUAUAACUUCCAUCUACGAUUUUACAAACAAAUGUGUGGAGAUUUCUGAUUCCAAGAAGGUGGAGUGGACCUACUUCUCUUCUCUCCACUAAGAGCAGUGAGUGACACUGGGCGUUACGUAUUAAACACACGUGAGGAGACUCUGGAGGGGUGAGAAGAGUUGGAAUAGGGACUAUAGGACCAGCGAAGGAUGGGGUGAAGGGUCCCCAGGUUUUCCUUCUGCCUCACAUGCCCCAGACGUGUGGAGCUAAAGAGUCAGCAACCCAGAUGCCAACGGGUGCAGAAAAAACAGCCAGUCCUAAGAACAUGGCUGUCGCCAGCCAAAGGACUCAGAAAAGGGCACCUGAACAAGGCAGAAAACUUUUCUUUUUUUGGCUGGAACAUUCUUUCUUAAUAACCCCAUGACUGUCCCUCUAUCUACUUUCAAAAUAAGCAUAUUUAGUUACCAAAUCUAUGGUCUACACUUUUGAAAAGUUUGCCAAUAAGCACACACUGAUUUGGAGUUUUCUAAGCAGUGUCCAAAGAGGGGGCAGUCCACCUGCAGCCUGGCAGAGGGCCGCACUCAGCUCCAGGCUUUCAGCCAGGGGCCUGUCUGACUCUGGGUGCCCUGGAGGGGCAGCACAGCAGGCCUCACACUUGCAAUGCCCAUGAGUCUGAAAGCAAACCCCAGCGCAGGUCUCUUAGGACAGUCAUCCAGACACUUAGAAUCCGGGACUUGCAACGCUGAACUCCUUGCUCCCGUUGGGAAGCAUUAGCAAUGCUGUCUCCUUCCUGCUGCAGUGAUGGGAUUAUGGUACACCUGAUAGUAAUAGUGUUUCCAAAAACAUGGAAAGAGAAUCUGAAACAAAAUAAUGAGAAUUGAUAUAAACAAUACCCAAGGCUUAUGCAUAUGUGGGACUGAAAACACUUGUGUAUAUAUAUUCGAGAUGGGAAGUCAAGCAGGGUUUUAGUGAAGUUUGUCUUUUAUCUCACAAGUUGCAUUUUCCUUUUAUAUCUGUAGUUAUCCUUUGGAGUUGGAGGGGAUUGGUCCCAGGACCGCCCUUGAAUGCUCAAGUUCCUGAUGUAAAAUGGUGUAGUGUUUGCAUAUAACCUGUGUGCAUCCUCCAGCUGCUUUAAAUCACCUCUAGAUUACUAAUAAUACCUAGUACAAGGUAGAUGCUAUGUAAAUAGUUGUUAUCCUGUAUUGUUUAGGGAACACAAUCUGUACAUGUUUAGCACAGACACAAUCACCCUUUUUUUCCUGGAAUAUUUUCAAUUUGCAGUUGGUUGAAUCCAUAGAUGCGGGAACUCAAGGAUAACAAAGGCCAACUGUAUUUAAUUAAAAAAUGUGAGCAAAGCUAUUAAUUUCCAAUCUUAAAGGCAUGAUCCCUUGAUUUUUAUAUACAAAUCACACUUCUUGGAUUAAAGUACAACUAGAAGCUUCAUUUUUCUUAAUUGUAAGAAAAGAUUGUUAUUUGGAAAUUGGACAUCUCAAGUGUUGCCUUCCUUCUAAAUAUUGAAUUUCCGUAUCCUUGUCCUUUAUGUCAUGUAUAAUUACAUGCGGAAAAACACACACAAGUGUAUGCAUAUUUGUUUACUAUAAUCUCAGGAGAUUUGAAUUGAUCUUGGAUUUUCAUUUUGUAGUUUAUUUCACAAACACAUAGACACUAUGUUAUAGGAGAACUUUUUUUUAUUCUUUUAAAAAAUAUGUUCCUGUCAUGUUACCCAUAUUUCCAAAUCUGUUAAUGAUACGAAGAGUGUGUGCAUGUGUGUUGAAUUUCAAGAACGUAUGCAAAACCACUUUCUCAAAGGGACAAGUGUGGCAGAGAAUUGAAUCUUUCCUUCCAUUGGAAAUAUCAUGAAACUGUAUUCUGGGAAAGUGACAAUAAUUAAAAGCACAUGGGCCACGACCUUAAUGAUGCCUCAGUCUGAUGCAGGACGAGCCUUUGGUGUUACAACACCGAGGAGGAGUGAGCGGGCCGUGGC